rnacentral:lncRNA from 1 species
GCUGAAUCUAUAUCUUCAGGUUCAGGCGAACCAGAACGUGAGCUGACGGUGCUGUCUAUUCUCACGUAGUCACCUUGCACCACAAACUUCCAUGCGUUCUUCCUGUAGAACGGUGGCGGUGGAGGCGGUGGCGGAAUUGGUAUUAACGGGGAAUUCCCACCGCUGUUCGAGUUCUCCUCGACACUGUCGAAACUUCUUAUCUUCACUGGCUUUGGAGCUGGAGUUCUGGUGAUCGGGGCAUUUUGAGAUUUUGGUCUUGAUAUCCUGACCGGUGCCACCCUCACAGGCGGAGGAGGAGGAGGUGGUGGUGGAGGCGCAUUUCUCUUUCUCCUAGCUUUUUUGGAUGUAAACAGGUUCUGAAACAACGAAGCAGGUGGCGGCGGAGGUGUGGUGAUGAAUGUUUCCGGCCAUUCAUGAUAAUGGAGAGGAGGAGGUUCUGAUUUAUGGAGGAGAGCAUCAAAAUUAUCAACACUUUUUGACCUGUUUUUUCUCUUCUUCUGAUACAAUGAAUUGAGAAACUCUUUUGUCGCACUUGCACCACCUCUUUUCCGGUCGCUUUUACUGCUUCUCGGCUCCACGUAUUGCGGCGGCGGCGGCGGCGGUGGUGGUGGAGGUGUCGCCGGUGCCCUAACAACUUCAUUUGCUUCUACCUCAUGAUUUUCCCUCUUCUUCCUUGCUCUCUCCUUUUUACGCGGUACACUAUGAGCUGCUCUCUUCACUUUGUCCUCAUAUACUACUGGUGCCGAAGCUGGCGGAGGUGACGGCGGUGAGAGCAGGGGAGCAGUUGAAGAUGGUGGAGUAAAUAUAGGUUCCUUUUUGGAUUCUAAAGGAUCUUCAUAAAUAGUUUUAAUAUCAGGUUCCGGAGAACGAUCAACUUCUCUAAAGCUACGCCGGCGGUGAAGCUGACCGGGAUCCGAAAACCGAUAAGUAUCAAC